UGCAAGUCGAACGAGGUAGCAAUACCGAGUGGCGAACGGGUGAGUAACACGUAGGUAACCUGCCCUUAAGCUUGGGAUACCCAGAGGAAACUUGGCUAAUACCGGAUAACAACAGAGAAGGCAUCUUCUUUGCUGAAAGGCCCCUUCAAGGGUCACUUAAGGAUGGACCUGCGGCGCAUUAGCUAGUUGGUGAGAUAACAGCCCACCAAGGCGAGGAUGCGUAGCCGAACUGAGAGGUUGAUCGGCCACAUUGGAACUGAGACACGGUCCAAACUCCUACGGGAGGCAGCAGUAAGGAGUUUUCGGCAAUGGGGGAAACCCUGACCGAGCAACGCCGCGUGAGCGAUGACGGCCCUAUGGGUUGUUAAAAAGCUCUGUUGUAAGCCAUGAAUGAUAGCUUGAGGAAAUGCGAGCUAUUUGACGACAGCUUACCAGAAAGCCACGGCUAACUACGUGCCAGCAGCAGC
rnacentral:rRNA from 1 species